rnacentral:rRNA from 1 species
AACGCGAAGAACCUUACCAAGUCUUGACAUCCCCCUGACCGGUCCGUAACGGGAUCUUUCCUUCGGGACAGGGGAGACAGGUGGUGCAUGGUUGUCGUCAGCUCGUGUCGUGAGAUGUUGGGUUAAGUCCCGCAACGAGCGCAACCCUUAUCUUUAGUAGCCAGCAUGUAAAGGUGGGCACUCUAGAGAGACUGCCGGGGAUAACCCGGAGGAAGGUGGGGAUGACGUCAAAUCAUCAUGCCCCUUAUGAUUUGGGCUACACACGUGCUACAAUGGCGUAAACAAAGGGAGGCAGCCCCGUGAGGGUGAGCAAAUCCCAAAAAUAACGUCUCAGUUCGGAUUGUAGUCUGCAACUCGACUACAUGAAGCUGGAAUCGCUAGUAAUCGCGAAUCAGAAUGUCGCGGUGAAUACGUUCCCGGGUCUUGUACACACCG